rnacentral:rRNA from 1 species
GACGAACGCUGGCGGCGCGCCUAACACAUGCAAGUCGAGCGAGAACCGGAGCUUCGGCUCCGGGGACAGCGGCGAACGGGUGAGUAACACGUGGAUAACCUGCCCUCGGCACCGGAAUAGCCCGGGGAAACCCGGAUUAAUGCCGGAUAGCCCCACAUCCCUGCGGGGAACGUGGGAAAAGGUAGCUUCGGCCUCUGGCCGAGGCUGGGUCCGCGGUGGAUUAGCUUGUUGGCGGGGUAAUGGCCCACCAAGGCGACGAUCCAUAGCUGGUCUGAGAGGACGAUCAGCCACACUGGGACUGAGACACGGCCCAGACUCCUACGGGAGGCAGCAGUGGGGAAUCUUGCGCAAUGGGCGAAAGCCUGACGCAGCGACGCCGCGUGCGGGAAGAAGGCCUUCGGGUUGUAAACCGCUUUCAGGAGAGACGAAGCUACUCGGGUUAACAGCCCAGAGGGUGACGGUACCUCCAGAAGAAGCCCCGGCUAACUACGUGCCAGCCGCCGCAGUAAAAC